GAUGAACGCUGGCGGCGUGCUUAACACAUGCAAGUCGAACGGUGAAGGCGGAGCUUGCUCUGCUGGAUCAGUGGCGAACGGGUGAGUAACACGUGAGCAAUCUGCCCCUGACUCUGGGAUAAGCGCUGGAAACGGCGUCUAAUACUGGAUACGAGCUGCGAAGGCAUCUUCAGCAGCUGGAAAGAACUUCGGUCAGGGAUGAGCUCGCGGCCUAUCAGCUUGUUGGUGAGGUAACGGCUCACCAAGGCGUCGACGGGUAGCCGGCCUGAGAGGGUGACCGGCCAACUGGGGCUUGGGAACGGGCCAGGAGCCUACGGGAGGCAGCAGUGGGGAAUAUUGCACAAUGGGCGAAAGCCUGAUGCAGCAACGCCGCGUGAGGGACGACGGCCUUCGGGUUGUAAACCUCUUUUAGCAGGGAAGAAGCGAAAGUGACGGUACCUGCAGAAAAAGCGCCGGCUAACUACGUG
rnacentral:rRNA from 1 species